AUUGAACGCUGGCGGCAUGCCUUACACAUGCAAGUCGAACGGCAGCGGACCUUCGGGUGCCGGCGAGUGGCGAACGGGUGAGUAAUAUAUCGGAACGUACCUUUCAGUGGGGGAUAACGUAGCGAAAGUUACGCUAAUACCGCAUAUUCUGUGAGCAGGAAAGCAGGGGAUCGCAAGACCUUGCGCUGAUUGAGCGGCCGAUAUCAGAUUAGCUAGUUGGUGAGGUAAAGGCUCACCAAGGCGACGAUCUGUAGCGGGUCUGAGAGGAUGAUCCGCCACACUGGAACUGAGACACGGUCCAGACUCCUACGGGAGGCAGCAGUGGGAAUUUUGGACAAUGGGCGCAAGCCUGAUCCAGCCAUGCCGCGUGAGUG
rnacentral:rRNA from 1 species